GCGCACCAGUCGAGAAACUUCACACUGUGCGAAAGCACGAUGAGGGAAUCCCAAGUGCUUGCACGUAAGUGUAAGCUGUUUCUCUGUCUAAAACGCAGAGAGAGUAAGGGCUGGGUAAGACGGGUGCCAGCCGCCGCGAUAAUACCUGCAGCUCAAGUGGUGACCGUUAUUAUUGGGCCUAAAACGUCCGUAGCCGGUUUAAUAAAUGCCUGGGUAAAUUGUGUAGCUUAACUAUACGAAUUCCGGGUAGACUGUUAAACUUGAGACCGGGAGAAGUUAGAGGUACCCCUGGGGUAGAGGUGAAAUUCUGUAAUCCUAGGGGGACCACCAGUGGCGAAGGCGUCUAACUAGAACGGGUCUGACGGUGAGGGACGAAGCCCUGGGGCGCAAACGGGAUUA
rnacentral:rRNA from 1 species